UGGGAACUGUCAACCUCUCAGUAAAAUCCCCUUUUACUGUUCACGUGGAAAAAUACAAAUUAAUGAUUGGUGAAAAUUCGUGAGAAAGAGAAAGAAUCUAGUAUCAUUCGGGGAGUACGCCACGAAAUUCGAGAGGAGGAGGACGUAUUCUACAUCAUCUCUCGACGGCCAACGCCCAUAAUAGACUCACAUGUUUCGUAUUAAGUCAGUAAAUACAUUGAAGAAAAUGUUUAUUAAUGUGCCAUUGAAUAAUUGACCAAGAAAGAACAUUCAUCCAGAACUAAAGAUACAAGAAGAUAAAAGACAUGAUUCGAGAAUGGAAUUAGAUGAAAGAGAAUGAUGUGAGGAGAAUGAUAUAUGAAGAACAGAUAUGGAAUCCUUAGAGGCAGCAGGAUGCCCCGAUUACCUGUUCAUGAAAUUCCGCUGCAAACCUGAAGUCACGCUAUUUCGAUUUAAAAGUUUUCACCCGAAAGCAGUUAUAGAUGAUCUGCACGACUCUAAUCGACGUGGCUAAUUGCAGGUGAGCAUAUAUUUUAAAUUAAGUAAAUUAUCAAUAAGAUUAAAAACUGCAGUCCGGCAUUGUGACCGUGUCACAAUAAAUCACUCCUCAUUAUUAAUUUUUUAUAUUGUUUAAAAGUAUUCAUCCUUUUUCAAUAAUACUCGAAUGAAAUAAUAUUUUUCGAAUUUCAAUUGUAAAUUUCGAAAAAUACAGAAGUGAAAACAAUUAGCAUUUAAAUAUUAGAUUGUGUCACUUAUUUUUUUCCAGAAAAUUGACAUUUCAUUUGCACAGAAAAGAAGCAAAUACCCAUUGAGAUAGAGAAGUGGUAAACUGUAUUUAUAUUUUAAUUAUUGAAUAGAUUUGACUCAUCAGGAAAGAAGUUAAAAUCUUUCAGAAAGAAAUCGAAAGAAUCGUGUCUAUUUGUUUCUCUGUCGUCGUCUUCGGUUCCAUCAGAAAUGAAAAGAGAAGAAGAAACGACAAUAAAUAGCAUUAACACGCAACACUUCGCUCGUUACUACUGACGCCUUUUCGUUGUCUUUCGUGUCGAGAAAAGACGAGGAUAGUUUUAUUUUACACUCUGUUGAUACCUUACAAUUCUUUGAGUAUUUGGAGACAGAGUGAUGAUUCUGUUGUAUUUUCUUCUGUAUGACAAAGUGAACGGAAGCUUAUGGAAUUCUCAUGCAGAAAUGGUGCUGAUCUGAAGAAAAUCUCGUUGACAAUUACAUUAGAAAAAAAAUAAGAAAGAAAAAAGACUUCCUAAGUAGCUGAAGACGAUUUUUCAGGUAAUAUUUCUUGAUAUAUCGAAUGGCCCUAGAGUUUGGUUAAUGGAAUGCGCUAACAAGUAUAGAAAGUGCUUUACGUUUUUCUGUUGAAUGAAGUUUUUUGACUUAAUAUAGACAAACGUAAGUAAAUCUCUAAUUUUUUUCUCACGCAUUGUCAAAACCACAAUUUUUAAGAAAAGGUUAGAAAUUGGUUGUUUUUAAUAUUUCAAAUUUUUCAAUCAAAACUGAAAUAUGAAAAUAAAAGGAAAGGAUUUUCGUAAAAUACAGUUUUAUAUGAAUUACUUGUUUUUAAACAUAGCAGACAAAACUAUUUUAAAUAUCGUAUUAAUAAUUAAUCAAUGCAUUUCACACGUAUACGUAUUCUUGUUUAAGAAAAUUGACUUAAAUCGUUUAUUUUUCAGAUUUUGAACCCAGCUUUAAUUUUCUGGCAUGACGUGUUCAAGAAAUGAUUUCUAAAAUGAAAAUUUUUUGAAAUUAAAUAAUUUGUUUUAUAAAAUAAUGUAUGACGUCAUUCUCGUAUUUGAAUUCAUUGAAAACUUUAUUUUCAGAUUCACUAUCACCCAAUAAAGAGAAGUGUAACAAAUGAAGAAUUGUUUCCAGAAAAAAAGGAUGAGUCGAGGAAUGUGUUUAACUUCUGUUUACAGAAGACUAAAUUGAAGACAGUGAUAAGAAAUUAUACGAGAAUAUGAAAAAAGGAAGAAUAUAUGUGAAGGAAAUGAAGAGAAACAGAAAAUGAAAUGAAGAAGAUAUUUUAAAUAAUUUCCAAAUACGUUGUUAUUUGUGAAAAUACUCUUCAUAUAAAAUGUUUUGAGAUAAAUGUAUAAAUUACAUUAAUUUGUGACAGUAUGUUCAUACUGCUUGGAAAUAUUUGAAAAUGUUGGUUGAAGCAGUUUACGUAUGGUUUAUUGUUUGAUGUGGGGUGGUUUAGUUAGUUGUAAGGUAUCAAUUUUCGUUUAAAGAAUCUUGCUAGAAGGAAAUUCUUUUUUUUAUCUGCACACACAAGUUUAACAAUCUUUUAAAAGCAGCGCGCUUAAAUUUAGAAUUUUACAUAUUCGAUUAGCAAUAAAUUGA